rnacentral:rRNA from 1 species
GACGAACGCUGGCGGCGUGCUUAACACAUGCAAGUCGAACGGUAAGGCCCUUCGGGGUACACGAGUGGCGAACGGGUGAGUAACACGUGGGUGAUCUGCCCUGCACUUCGGGAUAAGCCUGGGAAACUGGGUCUAAUACCGGAUAGGACCACUGCCUGCAUGGGUGGUGGUGGAAAGCUUUUGCGGUGUGGGAUGGGCCCGCGGCCUAUCAGCUUGUUGGUGGGGUGAUGGCCUACCAAGGCGACGACGGGUAGCCGGCCUGAGAGGGUGACCGGCCACACUGGGACUGAGAUACGGCCCAGAAUCCUACGGGGGGCAGCAGUGGGGAAUAGUGCACAAUGGGCGCAAGCCUGAUGCAGCGACGCCGCGUGAGGGAUGACGGCCUUCGGGUUGUAAACCUCUUUCAGCACCGACGAAGCGCAAGUGACGGUAGGUGCAGAGGAAGGACCGGCCAACUACGUGCCAGCCGCCGCCGUAA